rnacentral:lncRNA from 1 species
GUUAGAUAUUAAGAGUUGAACUUUCUACUAUAUGCUUACAUAAACUUUAAAAUUAAAAUACUUCUAAGGAUUUUUAACUUGAAGAAUUAAUGUCUUGAGUUAUAAAUUGAGGUAAUUUAUAGCAGUCUUUAUAAAGAAUAUUUUGACAUUUCGUUAAUGAAAUACCUAAAAAGCAGUAUUAAAUAAUACAUCUUUUUGGACCUUUGGAACCUAAAUGUUAGUGUUUUUCUGGACUUAAUUUGUGAGUUUGUGCACUCAGACUACACAUUCAGAAAAUAUUGUCAGGUGCAUAUAUUUAUUAAGAAAAUAACCCUGGCAAUUUACCAGAAACUCUUGUCUAUAAUAAAUAAUGAUACAUAUAACCAUAUGAAUUCCUUUUUCUUUAGUUUUCAGAAGUUAAAUUUAAAUUUCUUUUUCUAUGGCAGUCAAUUCCUAUCUCCAUGGUUUGGGGAAACAUUCUUUAAAGUUAUCAAUGCUCAGCUGUCACUUUUUUAUUCUGGAAAUGGAUUCUGAGUUUUAGGGGAGGUUGAGAGUCCCCUAGUGCCACACACACCAGCUUCCCAAGUCCACUGCUGGUCAAAUGCUAGCAGUUGGCAAGCACUUGUUAGAUUCAGUUUGAAGUUACUAAUUGUAAAGCAAUUUUCUUUUCACUUUAGGUUUUCUUUCUGACCAAUUAUGAGAACUAGCAGUAUCAGAAUGAGUUGUCUCAAGGUUUACUCCUGAUGACCCUUCCUCUAAUAGAGCCAGUCAGUGGUUACUUUCUCCUUCCUAGAAGGCAGUUGGCAAUAGGAAGUGCCCAGUGGGCCCAUUAUGAAUAAUCCUAAUUUAGAAAUGUUUUCAAAUAUUUUAUUUAAUUACAGAAUCCACUCUCAUUACUCUAUAUAAGAUAGAAAUAUUAAAUUUGCCAGUGAAAAAGAAUUAGCAAGUCUUUCUUAUAACAAAGCAGUUUUUAGUGUUUAUAAAUAAAAUGUUAAGAACUGAAUUCUGUUUAGACAAGCUAUCUUCUAAACAGCGUGCAAAAAUGUGUUUAUUCAUGUCUGUGAAUGUUUCAAUAUAUAGGUAAGAAUUCUUACCUUUAUUCAAAGAAUCUUUGUUCUUGAAAAAGGACAAUAAUACUAACUUCUUAGUAGGGGGAAAAUAUAUAAAUUACUCCUGUGGUUGAGCCUCUCCUGAUGAUUAUUUAUAUAGUAGAGAGAAUAUUAGACUUAAAAUCAGAAGAUCCAGGUUGGAAUUCCAGCUCUGACACUUCACUGACUAUGAUUGGGCAGCUCUCUUCACCUUUCAAAGGCCAAGUUUUUUCAUAGACUUAUUGAGAGAAAAUGAGCCAGCAAAGUUUCUUAUAAUGUAAAAUUUAAAAAUGCAUUGUAAGUAUAAGCUAAAACUCUUGCAUUGGUGACUUCAGUGAAAGCUUUGAGAUAUCAUUUCAUCCAAAUGAUCAGAAACUGAAAGUUUAAUGAUAUAACACUACCUCAUGGCCAGCUCGUGCUGUGAGAAUGAAGCUUUAUAAUAUCGUUUUCCCCCAUAAAAGUUGUACAUUCAUCCAAUUCCCUACAUUAGCAAAGUGCAUAUUCUUCAGCAUGACUAGUCAUAAAACAUAAAUCUGUUCUUUUUCCUUUAUUGAACUGUUAUACAUAUUCAGAACAAAGAUAAAGUGGGGUCAGAUUAGUUAAAAAUGGUGAUACGUAAUUAGCUACGUUGGUAGUUGCAGCACGGCUUCUUAAUUUAUUUUUGCUGUGGAUGUUCCAUUUACCGUGGAUUCCUUAAUGAGGUUCUCCUCCUUUGUUGGUACAUUGAAGAAAUAUAUUAUCUGAUUUUAAGAUUCAAUAAAAUAGUAUGAAAGGCUUUCCCAAAUUUUACGUGAUUGCAGCAGUUGAGUUUUUUUAGGGGCACUUUUUUAUUUGUUUCUUUAAUUUCAAGAGGACACAAACACUGCUCCUGAAGGCUAGUUCCUUUUGUCUCUGAGUAAUACACCUAGGAUUAAGUGAGCCCUGCCUGGGAAAUGGGCAAAGAAACUGGUCUAAGAAUAUAACUUUGAAAGUAGUUGAGUUCUAUUUUGAUGUGGGUCUGAUAUGCAAAAUAUGUUUCUCUUUCUAUUUGAGGAAAAUAGAGAUUUAGUAUUUCAGAGCAUCCUGAUUUUGUAUUAAUUUACAGCAUUUUCCCUCCAGAAAUUCAGUACCUGCUUGCAUCAUCCUUCUGAAAACAGUAACUCAAGAACACAUGGAUCCUGGGAACUGAAGGUAUGGUAUUGCUAGGGGAUCAGAUAGAAAUAUUUAGUUAAAAUAUGAAGUUACGGUUCAUUCUUUACAAUGACCAUGCUUGGACUUUAUUUAAGUAGAAAAGACAUCCUCAGGAGAAUGUGCAGAUCCCACUAUACUUUGAGAAAGUUACCAGGCUCUGUGAAAAUCCAUUUGAGUGGUUAUCACAGGAAAAGGGAGUCCUGUGACUGUCAGUGAAUUGCAGCCAAUAUGUGGACAUCAGGGUCCAUUGAGCUAGCUAAGCUGCAAGAUGGCCAUGGCUGCAAUGACUGCCACACCCUAGAGACUGCCUUUCUGACCACACUGCUGCAGAAGUGCUGGAAGGAAGACCUCAAGAGACUGUUUUAGGAAAAUUAUUUGCAUUUGAGAUAGAAAAAUCAAGAAGAGUGUGAAAAGGCAAGUACUGUUUUCCACAGAAAUUGGGAAAAAUAUUGAGCACAGUAGAAUAACUAAAGUGCUGACUCACAGAUACUCCUGUGAAUCUACACUCUGUUUUCCUGCCUCUAUCCCCAUUUCUGAUUUUGUAGGUAAAUGUUGCUACUAACUGAUUUUCUUGCUCAUAUGUUAUUACCAUUUUUACAGCACUGGUAAUACAUAGGUCACAACAUUCAUUAGCACAGAGUUCUUAGAGGGUUUUGCAUGUUUGUUCUGUUAUUUUUUGCUUGCUUUUUAAAUGAGAAUUAAUGUCAUCUAUUUUAAAGUCAUCUACUAAUUUACUAGAAGAUCUGAUAUUUAAAAAUACAUAAUUUAAUUUGUUUUUCCUUUCAUCAUCGAUAGUCUGUCUGUUGUGUUGGAUUUUAGCCCUAGAAGAUAGUUUUUGCAUUCUUAUUUUAUUGAUCCAUUGGCGCAAAAGACUUCUUUCCUCUUCCACAUUAGUACAUUAGUAACUGAAGAAAUUUAAGUGCCGUUGUGACAUUUGGGGGAAGGUAGAGAAGGAGAUUGCAAUUUGUGACUUGUAGGACUUACUGUAGGAAGAAUCUAUGCUAGUUGCUGACAGCUCUUGGACCGGCUGACCUGCCUUAGCAAUGUCAAAAUUGGAUCAACAAUGGUAAAAAAAAAAAAAAAAAAAAAGCGUAUGCUUGGAGAAGGAGCACUUAUCUUUGCUUUGUCAUCACAAACUUCGACCAGGGUUUGUCUACCUUUAGGUACCAUCUUGGCUUAAUCCCUUCACUAGAAACUCCUAACAGGGCUCAUUUCCUACGACUUUUACUCUAAAUCUGGGACUUGUAGGCACUAUGAUGUAGUCCCAUCUUUUAGCCAGCCCAGUCUUUUUUCACUGUAGUCACUCAAAAGUAUUUCACAAAAAAGAAUGGAAGUAGAUUUUCUCAGCAUCAUCCUGAUAAGGGAUGGAUUUUUUUUUAAAUAGCUGACUCAAAUUCCACAUCAAAACAACUUGUCAGUAAAGCAAGAUGACCCCUUAGUUUUCCAUCUUCUAACACUCCUUAUUAACCUAUGUAUCAGAAGGCUGUGUUAGAAAUUUAAGACAACUAUUGAGAAGUCCCAUCAGAAGAGGCUUCAUUCUGCGUUUCUUAACUAGCGGCACUGAAGCUGCUCUAUCUUGGAGCUUUUCAUUAACCAAGAGAACUACAACUAGCAUUCACCUGGGCAGGGGAAUCAUAAAAGAGAGCCCACCUCUGACCAUAGUAGUAAUGCUGAAUGACCAAGCAACGUAAGUGACCCAGAAAGAUCUCUUAGCUUUUACCCACUAGCAGAUUUAGAAUACUUCCAGCAAGUUUUUUUUUUUUAAAAAAAAGAAACAGUGUUCUUUCCAGCCUCUGUCUUAAAAACUUUGGUCUUAUUGCAAGGAAAUUUCUUACCCGCUUCUUCCCUAAGCCUAGACCUGACGGACCUUCUUGGGUUUGCUGGAGGAAUGAAAUGGCACUAUCAUUUCUGACCACCUGCUGGAUAUGACAGCACUUGAGUGGAUUGUAAAAGAGCUGAAAGCAAUCUUCAAUCUGCCAGUUCUGCAAUUUGCCUAGCUAAAUCCUCACUGAGAAAUGAGUAAAUGGGCAAGAGACUGAACCAGCACUUCACAAAAGAAGGCCAAGAAAGGAUCACAGUUCCUUUUUUUGGCAAAGGAGGGGAAAAUUGGGUAAAUUCUUUAUCUUUUGUGAAGAAACAUUAAAACAUUCUCCUUUUUGACAGUUAGUAUAAGUUUAAGAAGUUUUUAAAUCUAUUAAAUGUUCAACCAUAUUAGUCAUCAAGGUAAUGCACAUUAAAACUACAGUAAGAUACCCUUACACUGAUAAGAACAGCAAAAAUUAAAAUAUUGACAAUACCUAGUGUUGGUGAGAGCGUGGAGCAACAGGAACUCUCAUAAACUGCUGUUGGGAUUGUAAGUUGACUGAACCACUUUGGAAAUGUUUGACAGAUACCUACUAACAUUGAAGCAUACGUCUACCCUCAACUCAGUGAUUAUACUUCUAAGCAUAUAAGCAACAGAGAUAAUAACAUAUGAGUACAAAAAAUAUUUAUACAAGAAUGUUCUUAACAUUAUUCAUAAUAGCCUCAAAGUGGAAACAACCCCAGUGUCCAUCUACAGAAUGCAUACAAUGAGAUACUCUUUAGCAAGGAAAUGAGCUAACUCUUGCUACAUGUAACAAUUUGGAUGAAUCUCAUAACCUUAAUGUUGACAAAAGAAACCAGCCAACAGCAAAAAGUAUGCUUUAUGAUUCCCACUUAUAGAAGAGUUCAGAAACAAGCAAAACGUACCUUUAGUCAGAAUGGAGUAGAGGGCGGGUCGCAAAGGGGGCUUAUGGCUUAUGGAAUCUUGUCUUCCUUGACCAGCAUGGUGAUAACUUUAUGACAAGUUUUUGAGCUGUACUCUUUAUGGUUUUGCAUUUUUUUGCACUUAUCUUACACUUCAAUUUGAUUUUUGUUUCUUAAUGAGUUAAGCAAUAUCAACGUGAGGCUAACGGGACAGACAUUCUGCAGUAUGAGAGAAGAGCAAUAUCCUGAGACAUUUAGAAGGAAGGGUUUCUUUGUUCUUCCAGUGCAUGCCUAGCAAGAAAUAUUAGAGAAUAUCUGCUUCAGCU